rnacentral:rRNA from 1 species
GAUGAACGCUGGCGGCGUGCCUAAUACAUGCAAGUCGAGCGAACGGACGAGAAGCUUGCUUCUCUGAUGUUAGCGGCGGACGGGUGAGUAACACGUGGAUAACCUACCUAUAAGACUGGGAUAACUUCGGGAAACCGGAGCUAAUACCGGAUAAUAUUUUGAACCGCAUGGUUCAAAAGUGAAAGACGGUCUUGCUGUCACUUAUAGAUGGAUCCGCGCUGCAUUAGCUAGUUGGUAAGGUAACGGCUUACCAAGGCAACGAUGCAUAGCCGACCUGAGAGGGUGAUCGGCCACACUGGAACUGAGCCACGGUACAGACUCCUACGGGAGGCAGCAGUAGGGAAUCUUCCGAAAUGGGCGAAAGCCUGACGGAGCAACGCCGCGUGAGUGAUGAAGGUCUUCGGAUCGUAAAACUCUGUUAUUAGGGAAGAACAUAUGUGUAAGUAACUGUGCACAUCUUGACGGUACCUAAUCAGAAAGCCACGGCUAACUACGUG